rnacentral:rRNA from 1 species
UAGCCUACGGGGGGCAGCAGUGGGGAAUAUUGGGCAAUGGGCGCAAGCCUGACCCAGCAACGCCGCGUGAAGGAAGAAGGCCCUCGGGUUGUAAACUUCUUUUAAGAGGGACGAAACAAAUGACGGUACCUCUUGAAUAAGCCACGGCUAACUACGUGCCAGCAGCCGCGGUAAUACGUAGGUGGCAAGCGUUAUCCGGAUUUACUGGGUGUAAAGGGCGUGUAGGCGGGUCUGCAAGUCAGAUGUGAAAUUCCAGGGCUCAACCCUGGACCUGCAUUUGAAACUGUAGAUCUUGAGUGU